GGAGCGGCGGGCGCUUGGGGUGCCGGGCAGCGGCUACGACAUUAGGCACUAGGCACCCUCCACUCGCUGCCCCCCGCCCCUCUCGCUCGACUGUCCCAAACUUGCUCAUGCCCACCUGGCUCUUCUCUUGGCGGACCCCAGGAUAUCUGGACAGACGUGAAAAGUGUGGUGACGCGGAAGAAGUCGGUUUUUCCGAGAGCCAGUCAAGGUGGUGUCCCCUCACGCUCUCCACCUGCAGCGCCAGUUAAUUAAGCUUCAGGAUUCCAGACCCCGAACGCAGGAAGACUCGAACUCUGCCGCUCCAGUGUCUUUCUCAUCUCUGGAAGACUGCCUGGAAAGAAGGGCAUUGUGGGAACCACAGCAGCCUGUACUCCCACAGUUCUGUUUUAUGAAGAGGGUCAAGGUCAGUUUCUGGCUAUAAAUUGUAGACAUUGACCCCCAAACCAAGAGGAAGUACUAGCUUUAUAAUUUGUCCAGGAAACUCUAAGCUUAAUAUUUCAAAGAUGCGCAUGCUUGAUAACCUAUUAAACAUCAACCAGGUCAAUGAGUGUAUUCUGUGAUAACUACUUUGCAUAUUUCUACAAUGUAAUGUGCUUUAAAAAUUACUGAAUCAGGGGCCGGCUCCGUGGCUGAGUGGUUAAGUUCGCGCGCUCUGCUGCGGUGGCCCAUGGUUUGGAUCCUGGGCGCGGACGUGGCACCAUUCGUCAGGCCACGUUGAGGCGGCAUCCCACAUCCCACAACUAGAAGGACUUGCAACUAAGAUAUACAACUGUGUACAGGGGGGGUUUGGGGAGAUAAAGCAGAAAAAGAAAAAAAAAAAAGAUUGGCAACAGUUGUUAGCCCAGGUGUCAAUCCUUAAAAAAAAAGAUAAUAAAAAUAAAAAUUGCAGAAUCAAUGGAAAGGAAAGAUUAGAAUCAUUUAAGGAGAAUUUCAUGUUGCACCUCAGAAUUCAAAAUUCAUGUCAGUCAGCAGCGGAAGGUGAACCUGGCACAUAUAUCCUGGUUUACCUAAUAAAGUCUUAAAAAUGUAGCAAGGCUAUUAGUUUAAAUAAACUUACACAUACAUACAGUUACCUAGGAAUGCUUGAAAGAUCGGUGUUUAGUUUUCUUGGCUCAAUCAUUCUGUCAUGUGUACAGUUUAUUUGCUCCUCCAACUGUAUGAGCUGGAGAAUGUAUAAAUUAUGCUAUGGUUUUUUGCAGAGGAAACCAAGUCAUCUCCAGAGUCACAUGACUUGAGUGAUAUAGAUUCAAUAGUUUUAAGCUACAAACACUUUCUCUGUUAUGCGUAGCCAUGUGGUUCCUUUAUUGCAGAGCUUCCCAAACACUUUUGGUCAUGACACACCAAAAACUGUCUUAUUUACAUAGCAAACUGAAGUAAAUGGAAGAGGGUGCUCACAGUGAUGGGGCCAGGAACCCCAGCUUCCCCAGUCUCCUCCCCACAAGCCUGAGAGCUAAGAACCUUAGCAUUCUGGUACACUUACAAUCUAUUCAUAGGCACAUACUGCUGAUGGGAAUGGUGCAGGUAACAUGGAAAACAGUAUGGAGAAUCCUCAAAAAAUUAAGAAUAGAACUACUAUAUGAUCCAGCUAUUCCACUUCUGGGUAUUUAUCAAAAAACACGAAAACAUGAAUGCAAAAAGAUAUUUGCACCCAUGUUCAUUGCAGCAUUAUUCACAAUAGCCAAGACUUCAAACGACCUAAGUGCCCACCAGAGGAUGAAUGGGUAAAGAAGGUGUGGUAUAUAUACACGAUAGAAUACUACUCAGCCAUAACAAAGAUGAUAUCUUGCCAUUUGCAACAACAUGGAUGGACCUUGAGGGUAUUAUGCUAAGUGAAAUAAACCUGAUGGGGAAAGUAAAAUACCACAUGAUUUUGCUCAUAAGUGGAAGAUAAAAAUAACAACAACAACAAACAAACACAUAGAUAUAGAGAUUAGAUUGGUGGUUACCAGAGGAGAAGGUGGGGAUGGAAGAGGGCAAAAGGAGUAAUAGGGUACGCGUUUAUGGUGAUGGAUGGUAAUUAGCUUUUGGGUGGUGAACAUGAUGUAGUCUACACAGAGAUCAAAAUAUAUUGGUGUACACCUGAAAUUUAUAUAAUGUUAUAGACCAAUGUUACUUCAAUAAAAAACUAAAAUGCUCAAAAAAAAAAAAAAAAAAGAGAGAGAGAGAGAGAGAUAACCAAAGAAGAAAACAGUAAUCUAAUAGAGUGGGGAAGGGAGGGACUUUGGAAAAAGAACUAGGUCUGAAUCUUGGGGCAUCUUUUAAGUAUGUCUAUAAUCUUAGGCAUGCUACCCAGCCACUUGGAGUCUCCACAUUAUCAUCUGCAAAACAGGGAUAAUUAUACUUACCUUGCUGUAAUAUUUUAAGAUUAGAAAUAGCGUAUGUGAAUAGCACACCUAACUCAGGACACGGCACAUAAUUAACUGCUAAUUUGCUAAGUGACUUUCCCAGUUUAUGGAGCAAGACAUAGAGCCUGAAUUAAAAUUCUACAUCUAACUCCCAGCUCAGUGUAUUGUUCACGCGUUGUGAUAUCUCAGAUAUUUUAAAAUAUUUUGACCCCUCGUGUUAAGGAUUGAAUGUUUGUGUCCCUCCCAAAUUCAUCUGCUGAAACCCUCCCCCAUAAUGUGGUGGUAUUAGGAAGUGGGGCCUCUAGGAGAUAAUGAGGUUUAGGUGAGAUGGUGAGAGUGGAGCCCCCAUCAUGGAAUGAGUGUCCUUAUAAGGGGGGCAAGAGACCAGACCUCUCUCUCUUCACCAUGUGAGGAUGCAGCAAGAAGGCAGCUAUCUGCAAACCAGGAAGAGGGCUCUCACCAGAGAUCAAAUUUGCCGGCACCCUGAUCUUAGACUUCCCAGCCUCCAGCACUGUAAGAAAUAAAUGCUUGUUGCUUAAGCCACCCAGUCUACGGCAUUUUGUCAUAGUGACCCGAGCUGACUAAGACACUUGACUUCUGUAUACUUGAGUCCACUAAUGUUGUUGUAGCUCCCCACUUUAUUGUUGCAAGUAAGCCUGG
rnacentral:lncRNA from 1 species